rnacentral:tRNA from 1 species
GGGUUGUGGCUCAGUGGUAGAGUGGUUGUGCCUUGCACAUGAGGCCCUGGGUUCGAUCCUCAGCCUCA